rnacentral:misc_RNA from 1 species
UCUCCGUAGGUGAACCUGCGGAGGGAUCAUUACCGAGUGAGGGUCCUUGUGGCCCGACCUCCAACCCUUUGUGAACCCAUCUUGUUGCUUCGGGGGCGACCCUGCCGGCACUCGGUCGCCGGGCGCCCCCGAAGGUCUCCCAACACUGCAUCUUUGCGUCGGAGUGUAAAACAAAUGAAACAAAACUUUCAACAACGGAUCUCUUGGUUCUGGCAUCGAUGAAGAACGCAGC